UCGCGUGUCUCAGAGUUUCGAUCCCUGGCUCAGGAUGAACGCUAGCGAUAGGCUUAACACAUGCAAGUCGAGGGGUAGCAUGGGAGUAGCUUGCUACUUCUGAUGACGACCGGCGGAUGGGUGAGUAACGCGUAUGCAACUUGCCUCUUAGUGGGGAAUAACCCGGAGAAAUCCGGACUAAUACCGCAUACACUUAGUUAUCCGCAUGGAUGAUUAAGGAAAGAUUUAUUGCUAAGAGAUAGGCAUGCGUUCCAUUAGUUAGUUGGUGAGGUAGCGGCUCACCAAGGCAUCGAUGGAUAGGGGAGCUGAGAGGCUUAUCCCCCACAUUGGGACUGAGACACGGCCCAA
rnacentral:rRNA from 1 species